UACGGAGGGUGGCAAGCGUUAUCCGGAUUUACUGGGUUUAAAGGGUGUGUAGGCGGACUUUUAAGUCAGGGGUGAAAUCCCGAGGCUCAACCUCGGAACUGCCUUUGAUACUAUUGGUCUUGAAUUGUUGUUGAGGUGGGCGGAACGGGUCAUGUAGCGGUGAAAUGCAUAGAUAUGACCCGGAACACCGAUUGCGAAGCAGCCCGCUAAGCAACUAUUGACGCUGAGGCACGAAAGCGUGGGGAUCAAACAGG
rnacentral:rRNA from 1 species